rnacentral:lncRNA from 1 species
AAAUUGAAGGUAUGUAGUCUUCAUACCUAUGUAUUGAAUAUAGCGUGUGAUUUUCUAGUGGUUAAAAUCAUAAUUGUUAAGUGAAGGUAUACGUUGACUGCAUAUUGAACUACUAACGAGAUUCACCUAUUUGCACAUAGCAAACCUUAAGUAUUGUUUUUACGUUUGGUUAGGACUCUGCCAAUUCACAAUUGUAGUAUUGUUUUAAUAAUCUGUACCAAUUCAAAUUUUAUG